GUGUGGUGUGGCCAGGCACAGAGUAGGAAGCAGGUGUGAGGCUUUCCCCGGCAACUCAGGAUAUUGGUUCCGGUGGAAGGAGUGCCUUCUGUGCAUUGCUGUGCUGGGCAUGGCUCUCCUAGAGGCUGGGCUGCUGCAUCGCUAUGCCAGCUCCUCACAGGUCUCCAGAAGCAGCGCUCAGACUGUCGUGGGCUAUGUUCUGAUGGUGUUACUUUCAAUACUGUGGCUACUGAGAGAAACUCAAAGCAUCUACAUCUUUGGGAUUUUCCGAAACCCUUUCUAUCCGAAGGAUAUCCAAGCUGUGUCUGUACUCUUUGACAAACAAAGCAAGCUCCUGAAGAUUGGUGCUGUCAGAUGGAUUUUGCUAACUCUAGUGUCCCCUUUGGUGAUGGUGGCCUUCCUUGCAC
rnacentral:lncRNA from 1 species